AUUGAACGCUAGCGGGACGCCUUACACAUGCAAGUCGAACGGCAGCGCGGACUUCGGUCUGGCGGCGAGUGGCGAACGGGUGAGUAAUGUAUCGGAACAUGCCCAGUAGCGGGGGAUAACUACUCGAACGAGUAGCUAAUACCGCAUACGCCCUACGGGGGAAAGGGGAGGAUCGCAAGACCUCUCACUAUUGGAGCGGCCGAUAUCGGAUUAGCUAGUUGGUGAGGUAAAGGCUCACCAAGGCGACGAUCCGUAGCUGGUUUGAGAGGACGACCAGCCACACUGGGACUGAGACACGGCCCAGACUCCUACGGGAGGCAGCAGUGGGGAAUUUUGGACAAUGGGGGAAACCCUGAUCCAGCCAUUCCGCGUGCGCGAUGAAGGCCUUCGGGUUGUAAAGCACUUUUGGCAGGAAAGAAAUCGCAUCAAUUAAUACUUGGUGUGGAUGACGGUACCUGCAGAAUAAGCACCGGCUAACUACGUGCCAGCCGCCGCCGUAA
rnacentral:rRNA from 1 species